rnacentral:rRNA from 1 species
UACGAAGGGUGCAAGCGUUACUCGGAAUUACUGGGCGUAAAGCGUGCGUAGGUGGUUUGUUAAGUCUGUCGUGAAAGCCCUGGGCUCAACCUGGGAACUGCGAUGGAAACUGGCUAACUAGAAUGUGGUAGAGGGUAGCGGAAUUCCUGGUGUAGCAGUGAAAUGCGUAGAUAUCAGGAGGAACACCGAUGGCGAAGGCAACCCCCUGGGCCUGUACUGACGCUCAUGCACGAAAGCGUGGGGAGCAAACAGG